rnacentral:rRNA from 1 species
GAAUGGGGGAACCCACUCAGCUUGCUGAGUAUCCUUAUCUGAAUACAUAGGAUAAGCGAAGCGAACCCGGAGAACUGAACCAUCUAAGUACCCGGAGGAAAAGAAAUCAACCGAGAUUCCGUAAGUAGUGGCGAGCGAACACGGAGGAGCCUGUAUAUGAUAAUUGUUGCGAUAGAAGAACAAGCUGGGAAGCUUGGCCAUAGUGGGUGAUAGCCCCGUAUUCGAAAUUGCAAUGAUGGUACUAGGUAUACGACAAGUAGGGCGGGACACGUGAAAUCCUGUCUGAAUAUGGGGGGACCAUCCUCCAAGGCUAAAUACUCAUCAUCGACCGAUAGUGAACCAGUACCGUGAGGGAAAGGCGAAAAGAACCCCGGGAGGGGAGUGAAAUAGAACCUGAAACCUGAUGCAUACAAACAGUGGGAGCGGACUUGUUCCGUGACUGCGUACCUUUUGUAUAAUGGGUCAACGACUUACAUUCAGUAGCGAGCUUAACCGGAUAGGGGAGGCGUAGGGAAACCGAGUCUUAAUAGGGCGAUGAGUUGCUGGGUGUAGACCCGAAACCGAGUGAUCUAUCCAUGGCCAGGAUGAAGGUGCCGUAACAGGUACUGGAGGUCCGAACCCACGCAUGUUGCAAAAUGCGGGGAUGAGCUGUGGAUAGGGGUGAAAGGCUAAACAAACUCGGAGAUAGCUGGUUCUCCCCGAAAACUAUUUAGGUAGUGCCUCGAGUAAGAGACUGAUGGGGGUAAAGCACUGUUAUGGCUAGGGGGUUAUUGCAACUUACCAACCCAUGGCAAACUAAGAAUACCAUCAAGUUGUUCCUCGGGAGACAGACAGCGGGUGCUAACGUCCGUUGUCAAAAGGGAAACAACCCAGACCGCCAGCUAAGGUCCCAAAUGAUAGAUUAAGUGGUAAACGAAGUGGGAAGGCCCAGACAGCCAGGAUGUUGGCUUAGAAGCAGCCAUCAUUUAAAGAAAGCGUAAUAGCUCACUGGUCGAGUCGUCCUGCGCGGAAGAUGUAACGGGGCUCAAAUCUAUAACCGAAGCUGCGGAUGCUAAUUUAUUAGCAUGGUAGGGGAGCGUUCUGUAGGCCGAAGAAGGUAACUUGAGAAGGUUGCUGGAGGUAUCAGAAGUGCGAAUGUUGACAUGAGUAGCGAUAAAGCGGGUGAAAAGCCCGCUCGCCGAAAACCCAAGGUUUCCUACGCAACGUUCAUCGGCGUAGGGUGAGUCGGCCCCUAAGGCGAGGCAGAAAUGCGUAGUCGAUGGGAAACGGGUUAAUAUUCCCGUACUUUGAUUUAGUGCGAUGUGGGGACGGAGAAGGUUAUGUCAGCGGCCUGUUGGAAUAGGUCGUUCAAGCCGGUAGGUGGAAAGUUUAGGCAAAUCCGGACUUUCAUAACACCGAGAAGUGAUAACGAGACUCUACGGAGUUGAAGUGACAGACGGAGAAGGUUAUGUCAGCGGCCUGUUGGAAUAGGUCGUUCAAGCCGGUAGGUGGAAAGUUUAGGCAAAUCCGGACUUUCAUAACACCGAGAAGUGAUAACGAGACUCUACGGAGUUGAAGUGACAGAUACCACGCUUCCAGGAAAAGCCACUAAGCUUCAGCUAAAUCAGAACCGUACCGCAAACCGACACAGGUGGGUAGGAUGAGAAUUCUAAGGCGCUUGAGAGAACUCAGGAGAAGGAACUCGGCAAAUUGAUACCGUAACUUCGGGAGAAGGUAUGCCCUCUAAUGUGAAGCACUUGCUGCGUAAGCAUCGGAGGGUCGCAGAGAAUAGGUGGCUGCGACUGUUUAUUAAAAACACAGCACUCUGCUAACACGAAAGUGGACGUAUAGGGUGUGACGCCUGCCCGGUGCUGGAAGGUUAAUUGAAGAUGUGCAAGCAUCGGAUCGAAGCCCCAGUAAACGGCGGCCGUAACUAUAACGGUCCUAAGGUAGCGAAAUUCCUUGUCGGGUAAGUUCCGACCCGCACGAAUGGCGUAACGAUGGCCACACUGUCUCCUCCUGAGACUCAGCGAAGUUGAAAUGGUUGUGAAGAUGCAAUCUCCCCGCUGCUAGACGGAAAGACCCCGUGAACCUUUACUGUAGCUUUGCAUUGGACUUUGAAGGCACUUGUGUAGGAUAGGUGGGAGGCUUUGAAGCAGAGACGCCAGUUUCUGUGGAGCCGUCCUUGAAAUACCAC